AUUGAACGCUGGCGGCAUGCCUUACACAUGCAAGUCGAACGGUAACAAGGAGCUUGCUCCGCUGACGAGUGGCGAACGGGUGAGUAAUGUAUCGGAACGUACCAUAGAGUGGGGGAUAACUAUCCGAAAGGAUAGCUAAUACCGCAUAUUCUCUCCGGAGGAAAGCAGGGGACCGCAAGGCCUUGCGCUCUUUGAGCGGCCGAUAUCAGAUUAGGUAGUUGGUGGGGUAAAGGCUCACCAAGCCUGCGAUCUGUAGCUGGUCUGAGAGGACGACCAGCCACACUGGAACUGAGACACGGUCCAGACUCCUACGGGAGGCAGCAGUGGGGGAAUAUUGGACAAUGGGGGCGAACCCUGAUCCAGCCAUGCCGCGUGUGUGAAGAAGGCCUCGGUU
rnacentral:rRNA from 1 species